GGGCCUUGGUGGGCUCAUAAACGUACUUGCGGUACCGACCCUCUGCGCCCUCGUCGGCCGCCUUUCGCUUCAGUGACACGCCGGCGUCCGCGCUCGGAGUGGCCGCCUGGAAGCCGUAGGAGGACCAGAGAGAAGAAAUGAAGAGCCUGGGCAUUAGGAGCGAGGGGAUCCGAAGUAGCCUCAGUCUCCUGUCACUGCCCCGUCACCAUGCUGGGGAAUCUCCGGGCCAGUAACCCAGCCCCCACCCCCUCCCACACACUCAGGGGCCGCUGGACAAAGACCUGACGGAGUGGGAGGGGCCUGCGGGCCAGCCCUCGGGCUCCGACCGCAGGAUCCUCUGGGACCCGAACCCACAAAUCUUGGCUUUUGCCCCCUACCCCCCAACCUCCCCAGAGCAGGCUGCUUGCUAUCCCUGCAGCCUCGACACCAGAGAGGACGGCCAAACGGGUGCCCGUCGGCUGCCCCAGCGGCUAGCCCCUACGGUGCCCGCCCCCUCCCCCCGGGAAGUGACCCUGGGCUCCCACGCACCCGCUCGGGUCUCUUGCCGGCCUUGCCCUCCGACCUCCGCUUAGUUGAACCCCGCGACCCGCAGCCCCCGCCCUCGCUGGCCCUCGCACGGCCCUGCGCCCGCGGACAAAGCUCCGGACACCCUGACCGAACAGUCACCACCCCCUGACCCCGGCCCGCCCGCGCGCUCCCGCGCCUGCCCCCGCCCGGGCCCGCGACGCGUACCUCGGCAUCCCGGCCGGGUCCUAGGUGAGCUGAGCACCUACUGCGUGCCGGACUCUGCUGCGCCGCCAGUCGGGACGCAGAGGGCAGGACGCAAAGCCAGG